rnacentral:rRNA from 1 species
GACGAACGCUGGCGGCGUGCUUAACACAUGCAAGUCGAACGGUGAAGCGCCUUCCUUUUUGGUGGGUGUGGAUGAGUGGCGAACUGGUGAGUAACACGUGAGUAACCUGCCCCCUUCUUCUGGAUAACCGCAUGAAAGUGUGGCUAAUACGGGAUAUUCUGGGUCUGUCGCAUGAUGGGUCUGGGAAAGAUAUUGUUUCGGUGGGGGAUGGGCUCGCGGCCUAUCAGCUUGUUGGGGGGGUGAUGGCCUACCAAGGCGGUGACGGGUAGCCGGCCUGAGAGGGUGGACGGUCACACUGGGACUGAGACACGGCCCAGACUCCUACGGGAGGCAGCAGUGGGGAAUAUUGCACAAUGGGCGCAAGCCUGAUGCAGCGACGCCGCGUGAGGGAUGGAGGCCUUCGGGUUGUGAACCUCUUUCGCCAGUGAAGCAGGCCUGCCUCGUUUGUGGGUGGGUUGACGGUAGCUGGAUAAGAAGCGCCGGCUAACUACGUG